rfam:Myotis brandtii contig281475, whole genome shotgun sequence.
GGCAGUUCUCAGGUGAUGCACCCCGGAAUCAGGCUCCCUCCUCUCUGGUUCCAGGGUUGAGCGUCGGUGUUCAGUG